CUUCUCAGCCAGUGGGAAAAGAGCUGGUUCGGGGAAGUCCCGCCCUGGCCCCGCCUUUCCCUGGCUGGGCGCCUGCGCGGGCAGUCCUUCUUGGUUCAGUCCCAGUUCCUUUGGUCACUGGCUCGUGACUUCCGAGCUGUUUUCUUCAAAAGCCUCUUCCUCGGUAGAAGGGAGAGAUUUGGAGUUCUGGUGUCUGCAAUUAGUUGAAUUAUGACAGACUCCUAGCAGUAGAAUUAUAGGUCGAAAGGUUUUUAUGUGGUUUUCCAAUGAAAAUAUCUGCUUCAUAGCAGAGACUAUGUAUGAUCUACUCAUCACUGUUUUUGCAAGAAUCCAGCACACUGCCUGGUAAAUAGUAGGGGUUCUAUAAAUAAUGAAAAUGAGAAGGAAUAA